rnacentral:miRNA from 14 species
CAGUGGCUAGCUGCACUACCCUC